rnacentral:misc_RNA from 1 species
CUGCUGUUUGCCCAAUCAACUUCAAAAGUUGAGCUGCGAAGAUAUAUAGGAAGGAGAGAAGAACGGAUGUAGUGCCAAGAAUGAUCCAUGAUCUUUGCAAAUAGAUUCCAAGCAUAUCCAGUUUCCCUGCUCCAAAUGCUUGCCCACAUAGCGUUUCAAGCGCACUUCCCAUUCCAAGCAUGGCGCCGAAGGAAAAACCGGCGAUGACAGAGUUCUCAACGGAGACGGCAGCGAGGGCCAGGGUGCCAACUUGACCGGAGAAGACUUGAGUGAUAGCGCCAAGGGAGUACUGGCAAACGGAGGUAAAGAUGGCAGGGCCGGCCAGGUACCAGAGUUUUUUGGACUCCUUGUAGAAUUCUCUGAAGAAAUCACGGAUGCCGUUGAUAGGAGGGAUGUCAUCGGCAUCGGGGACGAAGGAAUAAGUGCUUGUUGUUGAUAUGGGAAGUGAGUGUAGACGGUCUAGAUCCUCAUGGUGAUGGUUGUGGUUUUGG